CUGAGGAUAAUAGAACUUUUCUGUAUAGCUUGGAGACAAUUAUCGAGUUGAGCUGUGUGGAAGAUUUUAGUGCAAAGUGUAUACUUCGCAUUGGCGGGUUGUUAUUACAGAUCGUACUAUAACAGUGGUGACGGGGCAGUAGAUGGAAUUAUCAUCGGGGUGUUUGUGGCUAUUGGAUUGCUGAUAUUCGUCUUUGUCUGUGUUUGUAUCAAGAACUGCAAGGGAGUUCACAUCCGAACGAGGUCGCGAUUCGGAUGGCCAGUCGCGAAUUUAAAUAGCGCGGUGACGUACCAAAAUACAGUUCGACAAACAAGAUUGUUUCAUCAACAGCCAUAUCCAACUACUACACUGAAUAAUACAACGGCUCCCGUCCAAACACAUCUAUACGGAAACACGCAUGUUCAGUACGGGAUACCGCCACCCUUCAAUGCACCGGUACCGUACAGCGCCACCUAUACAGCUCCUCCGCCGACCUAUUCUUCUGUGUUCACUACGCAUGGUCCAGUGGGUAAAAUGUAAACCGGUUCACUCCUUCGUCUGAGGAAUCUGGUACUUCAAAGACAUAAGAUGGAUACUUGAUAAAGAGAUCACUAGGGCUGGUAAAAAUGAUGAUUGGUUAAUUCAAUCGUGGUCCUCAAAUGAAUUACAUUUCUGAAAGAUCUCGUAGUUUCCGCACGUUGAGCACCCCCUUGCAAACAGUAUACUCGUAUUCUUAAUUAAUACAUUU